UAACACAUGCGAGUCGAGCGAUUCUCUUCGGAGAAGAGCGGCGGACGGGUGAGUAACGCGUGGGUAACCUGCCCUGUACACACGGAUAACAUACCGAAAGGUAUGCUAAUACGGGAUAACAUAAGAAAUUCGCAUGUUUUUCUUAUCAAAGCUCCGGCGGUACAGGAUGGACCCGCGUCUGAUUAGCUAGUUGGUGAGGUAACGGCUCACCAAGGCGACGAUCAGUAGCCGACCUGAGAGGGUGAUCGGCCACAUUGGAACUGAGACACGGUCCAAACUCCUACGGGAGGCAGCAGUGGGGAAUAUUGCACAAUGGGCGAAAGCCUGAUGCAGCGACGCCGCGUGAGCGAUGAAGGCCUUCGGGUCGUAAAGCUCUGUCCUCAAGGAAGAUAAUGACGGUACUUGAGGAGGAAGCCCCGGCUAACUACGUGCCAGCAGCCGCGGUAAUACGUAGGGGGCUAGCGUUAUCCGGAUUUACUGGGCGUAAAGGGUGCGUAGGCGGUCUUUUAAGUCAGGAGUGAAAGGCUACGGCUCAACCGUAGUAAGCUCUUGAAACCGGAGGACUUGAGUGCAGGAGAGGAGAGUGGAAUUCCUAGUGUAGCGGUGAAAUGCGUAGAUAUUAGGAGGAACACCAGUAGCGAAGGCGGCUCUCUGGACUGUAACUGACACUGAGGCACGAAAGCGUGGG
rnacentral:rRNA from 1 species